GCCAGUGUGGUGCAGCAAAAUGCGUGUUGGACUAGGGCUCUGGAGACCAGGGUUCGAAUCCCAGCUCAGUCA